CUCACCAAUGCUUUCUUCUUUUUUCUGCAUUAGAACCUUCACGCUGUGUUCUAGAUCUGUCUGGAAUAUGCCUCUGAAUCCUAAGACAGUCCCUACCCCACAGGAUCUCUGCUCAUGGUUAAAGAAAAGAAGUUGGGGCCGGGUGCAGUGGCUCACCUCUGUAAUCCCAGCAAUUUGGGAGGCUGAGGUGGGCGGAUCACGAGGUCAGGAGAUCGAGAUCAUCCUGGCUAACACGGUGAAACCCUGUCUCUACUAA
rnacentral:lncRNA from 1 species